rnacentral:lncRNA from 1 species
ACGGGGUAUCCACGCCACCCCCAGCCCUCCCCGUGCCUCCGCCAGCAGAGCACAAAGAGGGCCCCGAGCCCACCGGCUGGGCUCGGCUCAUCCUGGCAGGCGGUGGGCAGAGCCAGGGGCGUAGCAGCCGCCGCCGUCAGCUCUGCCCGAGGCCGGGGACACCCUUCUGGCCUGGCCCCCGCAGAGACAACCUCAUCCCCACGCCUGGCCCUCCCUCCGCCACAGCAUCCCUCGCCCAGGCGGCCCCGCUGCCUGGCCAUCUUUGCUCCUUCCUCCCUCGCCCCGUGCCCUCCCCACAUCUCCAUCUUUUCCCCACCUCAGCCGGUUUUUGCCGGGGGAAUUGCCGCCCCAGCCGCCCCCCCAGCCCUUCCCCGCCAUGGUUGCCGAUCCCUCCGGUGGCGCCGGGGGGACGUGGGGGUCCCCGGGAUACUCACGCUGCCCGGGGGACAAAGCAGAGCUGGGCUCCCCGCCGCCACGAGGCCUGGGUGGCCAGGCAGGGGUCCUCGGGUGGCCACCAAGUUGGGCAAGUGGCUCCUGCAGCCGCAGCCAAGGCUGCUGCUGAGCCUGGCAAUCGGAGCAGGUCUUUCCCCACCUCCUUCCUCCCCUCCUCCUCCUCGUCCUCCCUUGUCUCUCUCUUUCUCUGUCUCUCGUUUUUUUUUUUUUUUUCCCUUUUUUUUUUUUUUUUUCCUUGAGGGCCAGAUACUGACGUUUCGGUGUCUCUUAGCAACUGCCUCCACAUCUCUGAGCAACAGGAGAGCGGGAUGUGGAGCCGCCAGAGCGAUGGAGACAGUGGAGGAGAGCAAUGCCCCCGCUCCGGGGACACCCCACCCGGGGGGGGGACGGAGCGGGAUGAGGGGCAGCGGGUGGCACCCCGCCACCCACGGGGGGCUCGGCUGCUCCCCAGCCCUCCGGCUGCCCUCAGCGCACCCCCCGGCCCCAGGGAGCACCCCCGUGGGAUGGGGUGAAGCAGGGUUUGCCGGGCUCUGCAAACAGAAACCAAAUACGUGUCAGCAGGAGGGGAAAGCGAGGUGCUCCAGAGCUAAGCCGGGAGCGACUGCACCCAGCUGA